rnacentral:rRNA from 1 species
AUACGGAGGAUCCGAGCGUUAUCCGGAUUUAUUGGGUUUAAAGGGAGCGUAGGCGGAUGUUUAAGUCAGUUGUGAAAGUUUAAGGCUCAACCUUGAAAUUGCAGUUGAUACUGGACGUCUUGAGUGCAUUAAAUGUGGGCGGAAUUCGUGGUGUAGCGGUGAAAUGCUUAGAUAUCACGAAGAACUCCAAUUGCGAAGGCAGCUCACAGGACUGUAACUGACGCUGAUGCUCGAAAGUGUGGGUAUC